GCGGGGAGGGUGGGGGAGGCUGCUGCGCAGCAGCGUGAGAGGGCCGACUUGGGCUCACCCGGUGGCCCGGAGAGGAAGAUGCCUUUGAUGCCCAGGGGCAGUGGGAGUGUGUUGUGGCCCCAGUCCCCAGGAGGCCUGCAGGUGAACGACAAUUGUGUGCUGGCCCCAGGAUACUAAUCAGAACUUCUGCCUGACUCUCAAGGCACAAGGCUCAGUACCUGCAGAAGCCUUUUACCCAUCUAAUCCGGGCGUGGGGACAACAUGUCUGCACCUAGGAAGGCCACAGCAGAGUCUGAGAAUUUGGAAAGUACAAACAAGCACAGAAACACAAGGAAGGCUUUUGGAAAAGAUAUGGAGGGAGAGGACUCUAAUUUGAAAGACGUGAUUUCCUGGGAGAGUUUGCCUUCAUCAAGUCAGACACCUAGAUCAGUGACUCGUGAGGUUUUGGCAAAGGAAGAUAGCUCAGAGGAGGUAAAAUUCUCUCCUCAGAGUUCCCAAAAUGAUUAUGAGGAUAUUUUAAAAGAUGCUACAGAAAGUGACAGUGAUCCAAGCAUAUGGGCCACCAGUGGCUUCCUAAGAGACAAGUGGAGCAGUGAGGAUGAAGAACUUGCAGGGCCAUCCCAGACUGUCCCUCCUCAGCUCCACGGUAUACAAAUUGUUUCUGAAAGGGAGCUAGCUCAGCUGGCUCAUGUUCGACCAUUAAUAUUCAGUUUUCAUGAGCAAUUAACCAUCAAGGAUUGUUUUAAUGUGCUUGAGAAAAAAGUAGCAGAAUUUGAAAUCCUCCAGGAAUUUAUGACUUUAGAUUUUCAGAACCUACCUGGUGAGUUCAACUCUGGGAAUGACCUACGCAACAGAGACAAAAACAGAUAUCGAGAUGUUCUUCCAUAUGAUUCAACACGUGUUCCUCUUGGAGAAAACAAAGACUACAUCAAUGCUAGUUAUAUUAGAAUAAUGAAUUCUGGAGAAGAGUAUUUUUAUAUUGCUGCUCAAGGACCACUGCCAAGUACCACAGAUGACUUCUGGCAAAUGGUUUUAGAGAAUAACUCUAAUGUUAUUGUCAUGAUAACCAAAGAGAUAGAAGGUGGAGUUGUCAAAUGCCACCAUUACUGGCCCAUUUCUAUGAAGAAGCCUUUGGAAUUGAAAAACUGUCGUAUCUUCAUGGAGAACUACCAGAUACUUCAAUGUUUCAUCAUCCGAAUAUUUCAAGUUGUGAGGAAGUCUACAGGAACUAGUCACUUUAUAAAACACUUGCAGUUCACCAACUGGCCAGACCAUGGCACUCCUGCCCCAGUAGAUGGCUUCAUAAAGUAUGUACGUUAUGUGAGGAAGAGCCACCUUACAGGACCUGUCCUUGUUCACUGCAGUGCUGGUGUGGGCCGGACGGGGGUGUUCCUCUGUGUGGAUGUUGUGUUCUGUGCCAUCGAAAAGAACUUUCCAUUCAACAUCAAGAAUAUAGUGGCCCAAAUGAGAGAACAGCGUUAUGGCAUGAUUCAAACAAAGGAGCAGUAUUGCUUUUGUUAUAAAGUUGUGCUUGAAGUUCUUCAGAAGAUUCUGACUUUCGAUUAAGAAAGACUUCCGUUGCCUCACACUUGAAAUUACCAAUGGCUUGGAGUCUCCUCAUAAAGAACAUGUUCCAGCUGUCCUGAAGGGCUUUGCUUAGGCGUACAAUGUACUUUCUUGGUGUAUCAUUUGACUGUCUUUCUGACAACUACCGGAAGGCAGCAUCAUUUGGUUUGCGGUGAACAGUGUUUACCCAUUAAUCUUACUUAGAUAUAAUGUACAGCAGUAUUCCUGAGAAGGAUUCUAUGCUGUUACUUAAAUGAAAAGACUUACUAUGAAUUGCCUGACGUAUUUUUAUUAUCUAGGCCUUGAAAUGUUCUUGUAAAAAAAAAUGCCACAAUUCUUGAUGGUAAGCAUAUUUCUUCUUUAAUGUGUGCCUCAUAUUUUUAUAGCUGGACCAAUUUUUAGUUUUUCAGGGAAAUUAAAUAAGUAAACAUGGAAAUACUGAUUGCAUUUGUUUUAUUUCAUUUUUGGAAAGUGAAUUCCAAAUUGAAAAUGUUUGACUAAUUGAAAUACUAAGUUUCAUACCAACAAUAAAUCAGUCUUUGCCUAGACUAUGAAUACGAAACUCCCACUGACACCUUUGUGAGUGUAUGAGUGCUUAUUGAGAGGAACUUUUAAAACAUUUAAAUAAAAACAUAUAUGCAUUUAUUAACUUUCAACUUUAAAUACAUAUUUUUAAAGAUGCAUGUCCUCGAUGGACUGACAUGUUGGGCCAAAUCUUUUCAGAAAUAAACACUGUAGGUUUUAUUCUCCUAUAAGUCUUGGUAAUUUAUUUUUCCUUGGGCUUUUCACCCCUAAGCUAUCUAGAACAUUAUUGAAUUUUCAAUUAACUUUACAUUUACUACUCAGAGGUCAUUUCAGUGAUUUAUUCUUACUGAAAAAUCUUAAAUGAAAACACCUUAACUCUAAAACAAAAAAGUUUCCUUUCCUACUUACUUUUUCUUAAUACCUGGGAAGAAUUAAUUUUCUUAUAUGUUGUCUUGAGAUUUAAGUAAUUGAACUAGAAGAUUUGGAAAGUAUCCAUUAAGUAAAAACAGGUUAGUGGUAUUCAGUGGGGAUGAUGGAUUGCUCAAUGGAGUGCUCAAUUUGUCUACAGCUAUAAUCAAAAGGAAGUAAGUAAUGACCUCAUCAUGUAACAAUUUGAAUUAGAAGGGAUCUUAAAACAUGCCUAAUGUAACUAUCAUAUCUGAAACUUGAAUGUGAUAAAGAACAUUUUUUAGAAACUAAUAGCGACAUCAUAUUGGGAGGUGAAAAAAUAGAGCCUUCCCAUUAGGAAAACAGUAACUCCUGUUAGCACUAUAGUAUUGCUCUAGAGUUAUCUAGCCAAUACAGAAAGACUACAAAAAGGAAUAAAUGGUAUAUAAAUACUGGAAAGUUAGAACAAAGCGAUCUUUUGUUUGUAUAUUUGCUCACAUAGAAAUAAUAGACUGAACUAAAAUACAGUAUUAGAAAAAUCAUUAUGAAGUCUGGAUACAAGAUAACUGUGUAAAAAUUUCUUUUUCUACAUCAGGGCUCAUCGGAUGAUGGCUUGCAGGCCAAAUCUGAUAUGUUGCCUGUUUUUGUAAAUAAAGUUUUAUGCCCAUUUGUUUACAUAUUGUCUAUGGCUGCUUUUGUGCUGUAGUGACAAUGGCCAAGUUAGUAGUGGCAGAGAUCAUAUGGCCCAUAAAUCCUAAAAAUAUUUACCAUCUGGCCCUUUAAAGGAAAAGUCUGCCACCCUCUGUAUCUUCAAUAGGAAAAAUACCUCUGAGCAACAAGGAUAUGUAAAAUGUAUAAAAUACUUAAGAUUUAACUUACCAAGAACUUGACCAGUUGUUGCUCUCGCUCUCAACGAGCAGUAAAUACAUGAAAAGAAUCAAGAUAGUUUUGAAAAAGAAAAGUUAAUUGUGGGGAAGAGAGAGCAUUUGCCUUAGUAAUAAAGUAUCAUCUAAAGUCACAGUUAAAACAAUGUGAUUCUGGCUCAGGGAUACACGCAUGGAUCAGUGGAACAACAUAGUCAGGAAAGAGACUCAACAGACUCAUAUAUUUGUGAAUUUAUUAUAUACUAAUGGUAGCAUUUCAAAUCCAGAGCAUCAAAAUUUAUGAAGCAAAAACUGAGAGAAGUGAUAAAAUUGGAAAGAUAGAUGAGUCCACAAUUGUAUUUGGAGAUUCCACCAUUCCCCUCUUAGUAAUUGAUAGAAUAAAUGGAAAAAUCAGUAAGGAUAUAAAAGAUCUGAAUAACAUUACCAACCACUUUGACCUAACUGACAUUCGUAUAACACUGCACCAAAAUACAGUAGAAUACACAUUUUUUUCAAGUGUAUGUGGGACAUUCACCAAAAGCGAUUAUAUUUUGGCUUAUAAAAUAAGCCUCAAUAUAAUUCCUAGGAAAGGAGCUUUAUAGGUAUGUUUAUGGAAUUAGCUACAAAUCAAUAACAUAAAGAUAUUUCAAAAGCUUCAAAAUAGUUGAAAAUUAAAUGGUGUACUUCUUUUUUUAUAUAUUUAUUUUGAGAGAGAGAGAGCGUGAGCAGGGAGAGGCAGAGAGGGAGACAGAGAAUCCCAAGCAGGCUCCAUGUUGUCAGCACAGAGCAGGGCUUGAUCCCACGAAUUGUGAUCUCAAUCUCAGAUCAUGACCUGAGCUGAAAUCAAGAGACAAAUGCUUAACUGACUAAGCUAUGCAGGCGCCCCAACAAUUUACUUCUAAAUAACCUAUGGGUCAAAUAAAAAAAGAACCUCAAGAGAAGUUAGAAAAUAUUUUGAAGUGAAAAUAAAAACAUAACAUGGGAUGCAGUGACAAAAGUUUUGGAGAAAGCCAUGUGCUUAGUUUGUACAGUGAUGAAUUUAUUAUGCUUAUGGGACUGCCAAGUGGCUCUACAAGUCUGGGAUGAAGACCUAGAUCUGGAGGAAUCUUUGCCUUAAAGAUGCUGUUUGAAGGCAUGGGAAUGGCUCCCCCAAAGAAAGUGAGACAGAGGCCAACGGCAGAGUCCUAGAGAAUUGUCGCAGACUACGAGUACAGAGUUCUCCCUUGUCCAGCAAGAGAGCGGACAUAGAAUUGAAUAUGAGAGAGGCUAAUUUCCGGGAGGAGACAAGAGUCCUGAACAGGGAUUUCAUCUCCGUAUUUAUUGAGCUCACAAGAUAUUACCCAUGUGGUGAAUGUGAAGAAAACAAGAUCUUGCACACGUGAACGUGGAGAAAACAAUUGGUCAGUAAUCAUUAACUUGUGUAUGUAGGAAGCAAAGGGUCUGGGGGACAAGUGGUGUUUGUGAUCCAAAGUAUAAUAGUAUAUUGGCAUCAGAUGGAAAGUAAUUUCUUGCAGGUGAUAUAACAAGUUACUCGUGAUCCCAUUUCAAUAUCUUGCUAGCUAACCUUGGGCGCUAUCGCCCUGUGGUGGUGGCUUUCCAUCCUAAGCUUUUUCUUACCCAUUUAUGUACGUAGAACCUGUUUCCCCACAGGGAAUGUCAACAUUCAUUCCUAUCUAGAUUGCCCUCAUGGCCCAGCCUAAAAGCCACCUCUUUUAUGAAGUCUCCUAAUACUCCUCUCUCCUUCAUCAGUACUUCUCAAACUCUGUGGUGAAGAACCCAUUUUAUUUACAAACAGAUGGACCCCAAAAUACCCAUCAGAUAUUUAUUGGAAAUUGUGGUGAGCUAAUUUGAGGACAGUAGCUGAAAUUGGAUGAUUGCCUCAAAAGUGAAUAAGUGCAAGGAGCACUUGGUAAAACCUAAAGGAGUUGGAGCAAUCCAGCUUUUAUCUACUGUAAAAGCUGAUAAGCUAAGACUCCUUUCCAGAACCAAGUACCAUACUGAGGAAAAACUGUAGAAUCAACAUUUAGCAAAACAGGGAUAAUAGGAAUGAAGAAAAGAGAAGGUCUAUAUAAAAGUGAAUGAAGGGGGGGGGGGGCGCCUGGGUGGCUCAGUUGGUUAAGCGUCCGACUUCGGCUCAGGUCACGAUCUCACGGUCUGCGAGUUCGAGCCCCGCGUCGGGCUCUGGGCUGACGGCUCAGAGCCUGGAGCCUGCUUCCGAUUCUGUGUCUCCCUCUCUCUCUGCCCCUCCCCCGUUCAUGCUCUGUCUCCCUCUGUCUCAAAAGUGAAUAAAUGUUAAAAAAAAAUU